rnacentral:rRNA from 1 species
AGCGAACGCUGGCGGCAGGCCUAACACAUGCAAGUCGAACGAAGUCUUCGGACUUAGUGGCGGACGGGUGAGUAACACGUGGGAACGUACCUUUUGGUUCGGAACAACUCAGGGAAACUUGAGCUAAUACCGAAUGUGCCCUUAGGGGGAAAGAUUUAUCGCCAUUAGAGCGGCCCGCGUUAGAUUAGCUAGUUGGUGGGGUAAAGGCCCACCAAGGCUACGAUCUAUAGCUGGUCUGAGAGGAUGAUCAGCCACACUGGGACUGAGACACGGCCCAGACUCCUACGGGAGGCAGCAGUGGGGAAUCUUGCGCAAUGGGCGAAAGCCUGACGCAGCCAUGCCGCGUGAAUGAUGAAGGUCUUAGGAUUGUAAAAUUCUUUCAGUAGGGACGAUAAUGACGGUACCUACAGAAGAAGCCCCGGCUAACUUCGUGCCAGCCGCCGCUGUAA